UACAGAGGUGGCAAGCGUUGUUCGGAAUUACUGGGCGUAAAGGGCGCGUAGGCGGCCAUCUAAGUCAGACGUGAAAUCCCCCGGCUUAACCUGGGAACUGCGUCUGAUACUGGACGGCUUGAGUUUGGGGAGAGGGAUGCAGAAUUCCAGGUGUAGCGGUGAAAUGCGUAGAUAUCUGGAGGAAUACCGGUGGCGAAGGCGGCAUCCUGGACCGACAUUGACGCUGAGGAGCGAAAGCCAGGGGAGCAAACGGG
rnacentral:rRNA from 1 species